UUUUUUCUUUUUUUUUUUUGAAAGAUUUUAUUUAUUUAUUCAUGAGAGACACAGAGAGAGAGAGGCAGAGAUAUAGGCAGAGAGAGAAGCAGGCUCCAUGCAGGGAGCCAGAUGUGGGACUUGAUCCCGGGACUCCAGGAUCAGGCGCUGGGCUGAAAGCAGGUGCUAAACCGCUGAGCCACCCAGGAGUCACCGUCCUUUUUUUCUUUUGAAAAAGUAACAUUUUUCUUAAAUUAUUAUAAAUAAUUUCAUAAAAUAUUUUAAAUUAUUUCUGAAUAAUUAUGUUUAAUUCUAGUUCUGGUAUUUCUUUUUAAUUUUUUUUUAUUUAUUUAUGAUAGUCACAGAGAGAGAGAGAGAGAGAGGCAGAGACACAGGCAGAGGGAGAAGCAGGCCCCAUGCACCAGGACCCCGACGUGGGAUUCGAUCCCAGGUCUCCAGGAUCGCGCCCUGGGCCAAAGGCAGGCGCCAAACCGCUGCGCCACCCAGGGAUCCCUCUAGUGCUGGUAUUAUUUGAUGUAGUAAAUAUUUGAAAAAUAUUAGUCUAUUUUAAAAAUAGGAAGAUCAAUUCUUGAAAAAAUAGUUUUGAGAUUAAAAAUGAUUGUGAUUUUUAAAAAAGACACCAGAAUUUGGAAUAUUUUAAUAAUAAAUCAGUUUUAGUUGGGCAGAGGAGAAUUUAAAAGUUAUCUAUGGGAAAGAAAGAAAGCGAGAGAGGGAGAGAGGGAGUGAGAGAGAGAGAAAAAUAAUAGGCUCAAAUGGAGUCACUUGGCUCCACAACAUCAAAUCAAGACUUGAUUGCAGGACUGUAACCUUUAACCACUCAAUUUGGAAUUUCCUGGUCUGUACCAAAGAUAUAAUCUGCAUUUUAUAAGCCUACUCCUCCCCCAGAAUGAAGGUGACUUUGCCUCAAACAAUCCUUUCUAUUCUUUUUCCUGCCCCAUUUCUGCCUAAUAAAGUCUUCCAUUUUGUAAGUCUCUUGGAACUCCUUUCCACCAAUCAGAUGGCAUACUGCUCAAUUCAUGAAUUAUUGAAUAAAGCCAAUUAGAUCUUCAAAUUUACACAGUUGAAUUUUGUUUUUUAACCUUUAAAAACAUGCUAAAGAUAAAUCCAAACACAAUAACCAUAGUGAUUCCCCCCAAAUAAAUAGUAUAUAUGAGAUAUUUUAAAAGCUAAUCUAAAACAGCAAUAAUCGCUUGGCUAUUCAUUGAGAAAUUUCUGCACUUAAACUUGAAACCAAAGGACCCAGCAAAUAUACAGAAAACCACUAGCAUGUGAGAUUCCCACAAAUACAACUCCCAGCACACAGCUAAAUAUUAAACAGCACAUGAGGAAAUUCUCCUCGUGAGAGCAGACACCACAGUUGAUUUUACCUUUUAUCUGAAAAUUAUCUUUUUAAUAUUACCCUAAAAGAUAUUACAAAACCAUUUUCAAAUAGCUAUUGAGGUGAUUUGAUAGCCAAUGAUAAGCAAUCUGGAGAGAUGACAUUUUUUUCCAGAACAAAAUUUCCAAGAAGUGUGACAAGGAUGAGAGACAUGUAAGUCAUAGGUGUUUGUGGUACAGAACGGCACAAAAUGUCAGAAUGAGUAGAGGUCAGUAAAACAGGGAAGAAAACAAAGGGAAAGAAGGGAAGGAAAAGGGAUGCUAUUCAGUAAGAUAUUACAAAGAGAAGAUAAAAGGAAGCUACAGAUGUAGAGACUAUGAAUUAAAAAGAACGUUACCAAAGUGCCUGAUAAGAAAGACAAUAAUAUGUCUGUCAGUGACAACAAAUGCCUCUGAAAGUUCUAAAGACACAGAGGAGAGUGAAGGACGGUGAUAAGGCUCAAUUUCCCUUUAAAGAUGCAAGACAAGGUAACCACAGAGAAAACACCAGGUGAAGAUGAAUAGAAAGAGAAAAAAGUCACAUUUCCUUUAUCAUUAAAAUUCUUUCAGAUUGCACUCAAACUAUCAAAUGUUCCCAAUGCCUCUUCAUCCUUUAUCCAUCACUUUUGCUUUUACUUGCUCCUGACUAAAAGGAGCAUUUUAUUUUCCCUGACAUCACUCCACUUUCUUCAUCCUUCCCACCGCUUUCUCCCUUUUUCCCCCAUUGUUCUCCCUCCAAAAGAGAUUCAAUGCCAGUCACCAUUGCAUUUUCAUGCAGCAAACCUUUAGUUUUAGUAGUAGGAGUCUGAAAAAAAAAAGUAAAAGAAAGUAUGAAUCGAAGUCUAAUACUUUAAUAAGGUAGUUGUUUUCCAUAUUUUAACAUUAAUACAAUCAUGAUUAACACAAAUCAUGAAAACAGUCCCAGGACUUGAAAUAAAACUCAGCUGAUACAUAUGGAUUUGAGUAUUGUUAUAUUACCUAUGGUAAUUUGCCUUAUAUAAUGUUUAAGAGGACACAUUUUAACACUUUCUUGGCUCUUACAUUUAGAAGAUAAUGGUAAAUUUUAGUGAAGUAUAAGUACAGUACAUUAUUACAAUAGUAUUAGUAGUAAUAAUAAAAUUAAAAAACAAGAAAAUAUCCAGAUAUUCUGCUAAGUGUUUGAUUCAUAAAGAAUACAAGCAGAAAAAGUUAAACUCAAGUCCUUAUUAUGGUCAUCAUUCUCUUCUUAAGAAUUAAGUUUUAUUUAAAUCUGGUAAAUUUUCUUUAAAAGAACAUGGUUUUAAAUCAUGCAUUAAAAAAUUAAAAUAUCACUAUUUCCAUUGUGCUAAUAAGAAUUAGCUGGCUUUUAAUUCAUUUAUAACCAUUAUUUCAUAUUUUCAGAUAAACUGAGAAAAAGAAUAUUGGAGGAAAUUUUCCUAGAAUGUUUGUAUAUUUCUAAUAAUUUACUAAUUUUAUCUGUGUAUGUCCUGAACAAUUACUUUUGUUUUCAAUUUUCAUCUCUAUCCUCAGAAUUUAUAUGUUUUUGUUGUUAAAAUUCAAUCCAACCUAAUUAAAAAAUUGUGAAAUGUUAUAUAAAUCAUCUGCGGGGACUCACUUGGACUCCAGAGUUAGUUUAAAAAUUAUUAUAAAGUGAAAACAUUUGACUAGAGGGUACAAAAGGAAAUCUUAUCUGAACUUCUU
rnacentral:lncRNA from 1 species